rnacentral:rRNA from 1 species
GAACCUGGUGCUAAACCAUUCGUAGAUGACCUGCUUCUGGGUCGGGAUUUCGUACACGACAGAGCAGUACCCUUGCUGCGAUCUACUGAAAGUCAGCCCUUGAUACAAGGGUUUGU